rnacentral:tRNA from 1 species
UAAGGCUAUAGCUCAGUGGUAGAGAGCUCGCCUAGCCUGCCUGUGGUCCUGGGCUCAAUCCCCAGAACAGAUUUAA